UACGUAGGGUGCGAGCGUUAAUCGGAAUUACUGGGCGUAAAGUGUGCGCAGGCGGCCGCGCAAGUCGAGUGUGAAAGCCCCGGGCUUAACUUGGGAAUUGCGCUCGAAAAUACGUGGCUGGAGUGUGGCAGAGGAAGGUGGAAUUCCACGUGUAGCGGUGAAAUGCGUAGAGAUGUGGAGGAACACCAAUGGCGAAGGCAGCCUUCUGGGCCAACACUGACGCUCAUGCACGAAAGCGUGGGGAGCAAACAGG
rnacentral:rRNA from 1 species